CAAGAUAUAGCUAUAAUAGCAGUUCAUUUACGUUGAGAAGUUUUCUCUGAUGGGAUGUCUUGA
rnacentral:tRNA from 1 species